ACGCACGCUGGCGGCGUGCUUCACACCUGCAAGUCGCACGGAAAGGCCCUGCUUUUGUGGGGUGCUCGAGUGGCGAACGGGUGAGUAACACGUGAGUAACCUGCCCUUGACUUUGGGAUAACUUCAGGAAACUGGGGCUAAUACCGGAUAGGAGCUCCUGCUGCAUGGUGGGGGUUGGAAAGUUUCGGCGGUUGGGGAUGGACUCGCGGCUUAUCAGCUUGUUGGUGGGGUAGUGGCUUACCAAGGCUUUGACGGGUAGCCGGCCUGAGAGGGUGACCGGCCACAUUGGGACUGAGAUACGGCCCAGACUCCUACGGGAGGCAGCAGUGGGGAAUAUUGCACAAUGGGCGGAAGCCUGAUGCAGCAACGCCGCGUGCGGGAUGACGGCCUUCGGGUUGUAAACCGCUUUCGCCUGUGACAAAGCGUGAGUGACGGUAAUGGGUAAAGAAGCACCGGCUAACUACGUG
rnacentral:rRNA from 1 species